rnacentral:rRNA from 1 species
AUUGAACGCUGGCGGCAUGCCUUACACAUGCAAGUCGAACGGCAGCACGGGAGCAAUCCUGGUGGCGAGUGGCGAACGGGUGAGUAAUAUAUCGGAACGUGCCCAGUCGUGGGGGAUAACGCAGCGAGAGCUGUGCUAAUACCGCAUACGAUCUACGGAUGAAAGCGGGGGACCGCAAGACCUCGCGCGAUUGGAGCGGCCGAUAUCAGAUUAGCUAGUUGGUGAGGUAAAGGCUCACCAAGGCGACGAUCUGUAGCUGGUCUGAGAGGACGACCAGCCACACUGGAACUGAGACACGGUCCAGACUCCUACGGGAGGCAGCAGUGGGGAAUUUUGGACAAUGGGCGAAAGCCUGAUCCAGCAAUGCCGCGUGCAGGAUGAAGGCCUUCGGGUUGUAAACUGCUUUUGUACGGAACGAAACGGUGAGCUCUAAUACAGUUUGCUAAUGACGGUACCGUAAGAAUAAGCACCGGCUAACUACGUGCCAGCCGCCGCGGUAA